UACGUAGGAGGCGAGCGUUGUCCGGAUUUACUGGGCGUAAAGGGCGCGUAGGCGGCCCCCUGAGUCCCGCGUGAAAUCUCCCGGCUCAACCGGGAGGGUGCGCGGGAUACUGGGGGGGCUGGAGGGCAUCAGAGGGAAGCGGAAUCCCCGGUGUAGUGGUGAAAUGCGUGAGAUAUCGGGGGGAACACCGGUGGCGAAGGCGGCAUCCUGGACCAAUAUUGACGCUGAGGAGGCGAAAAGCUGAGGGGAGCCAAAC
rnacentral:rRNA from 1 species